UACAGAGGUCUCGAGCGUUGUUCGGAUUCAUUGGGCGUAAAGGGCGCGUAGGCGGCGGGGUAAGUCUGGUGUGAAAUCUCGGAGCUCAACUCCGAAAUUGCACUGGAUACUGCUCUGCUAGAGGGCUGGAGAGGAGAUCGGAAUUCACGGUGUAGCAGUGAAAUGCGUAGAUAUCGUGAGGAAGACCAGUGGCGAAGGCGGAUCUCUGGACAGCUCCUGACGCUGAGGAGCGAAAGUGUGGGGAGCGAACAGG
rnacentral:rRNA from 1 species